rnacentral:rRNA from 1 species
GAUGAACGCUGGCGGCGUGCCUAAUACAUGCAAGUCGAGCGAACAGACGAGGAGCUUGCUCCUCUGACGUUAGCGGCGGACGGGUGAGUAACACGUGGAUAACCUACCUAUAAGACUGGGAUAACUUCGGGAAACCGGAGCUAAUACCGGAUAAUAUAUUGCACCGCAUGGUUCAAUAGUGAAAGACGGUUUUGCUGUCACUUAUAGAUGGAUCCGCGCCGCAUUAGCUAGUUGGUAAGGUAACGGCUUACCAAGGCAACGAGGCGUAGCCGACCUGAGAGGGUGAUCGGCCACACUGGAACUGAGACACGGUCCAGACUCCUACGGGAGGCAGCAGUAGGGAAUCUUCCGCAAUGGGCGAAAGCCUGACGGAGCAACGCCGCGUGAGUGAUGAAGGUCUUCGGAUCGUAAAACUCUGUUAUUAGGGAAGAACAAAUGUGUAAGUAACUAUGCACGUCUUGACGGUACCUAAUCAGAAAGCCACGGCUAACUACGUG